rnacentral:lncRNA from 1 species
CCAGGGUGGCCUCCUCGUGGUUGUCCUGGAUGUCCACAUUGACCACGUGCACAGGCUGGCAGGUCUCCUGUUCUCUGGAAUUCAGAUCUGAUUGGGACAAGGUGACACAGACGUCAGAGGCUCCAAAACCAGGGAACAGGCAGUCAAUGUGGCUGAGUCCCCAGCUCUGCCGGCUGCAGGCCCAGCCCAGCCCCAGUGGUUUCUGGACUCUGCAGUUUGGGGAGCACAAUGAAUGAGCCUCAAACCGAAGGCGGCUGAUGGUUCGAGGAAACCUGAGCAAAUCUCCAACUCAGCACAAGCUGGUCUGG